rnacentral:rRNA from 1 species
AUUGAACGCUGGCGGCAGGCCUAACACAUGCAAGUCGAGCGGAUGAAGGGAGCUUGCUCCUGGAUUCAGCGGCGGACGGGUGAGUAAUGCCUAGGAAUCUGCCUGGUAGUGGGGGAUAACGUCCGGAAACGGGCGCUAAUACCGCAUACGUCCUGAGGGAGAAAGUGGGGGAUCUUCGGACCUCACGCUAUCAGAUGAGCCUAGGUCGGAUUAGCUAGUUGGUGGGGUAAAGGCCUACCAAGGCGACGAUCCGUAACUGGUCUGAGAGGAUGAUCAGUCACACUGGAACUGAGACACGGUCCAGAGUCCUACGGGAGGCAGCAGUGGGGAAUAUUGGACAAUGGGCGAAAGCCUGAUACAGCCAUGCCGCGUGUGUGAAGAAGGUCUUCGGAUUGUAAAGCACUUUAAGUUGGGAGGAAGGGCAGUAAGUUAAUACCUUGCUGUUUUGACGUUACCAACAGAAUAAGCACCGGCUAACUUCGUG